rnacentral:rRNA from 1 species
CAGUCGCCACGGUAAUACGAGGGGGGCUAGCGUUGCUCGGAAUGACUGGGCGUAAAGGGCGCGUAGGCGGCGAUCAAAGUCAGGCGUGAAAUUCCUGGGCUCAACCUGGGGGCUGCGCUUGAUACUUGGUUGCUUGAGUGGGGAAGAGGGUCGUGGAAUUCCCAGUGUAGAGGUGAAAUUCGUAGAUAUUGGGAAGAACACCGGUGGCGAAGGCGGCGACCUGGUCCUUGACUGACGCUGAGGCGCGAAAGCGUGGGGAGCAAACAGGAUUAGAUACCCCGGUAGUCCCUGUCUCUUAUAC